GACGAACGCUGGCGGCGUGCUUAACACAUGCAAGUCGAACGGAAAGGCCCCCUUGUGGGGUACUCAAGUGGCGAACGGGUGAGUAACACGUGAGUAACCUACCCUUGACUUUGGGAUAACUUCAGGAAACUGGGGCUAAUACCGGAUAGGAGCUCCUGCUGCAUGGUGGGGGUUGGAAAGUUUCGGCGGUUGGGGAUGGACUCGCGGCUUAUCAGCUUGUUGGUGGGGUAGUGGCUCACCAAGGCUUUGACGGGUAGCCGGCCUGAGAGGGUGACCGGCCACAUUGGGACUGAGAUACGGCCCAGACUCCUACGGGAGGCAGCAGUGGGGAAUAUUGCACAAUGGGCGGAAGCCUGAUGCAGCAACGCCGCGUGCGGGAUGACGGCCUUCGGGUUGUAAACCGCUUUCGCCUGUGACGAAGCGUGAGUGACGGUAAUGGGUAAAGAAGCACCGGCUAACUACGUG
rnacentral:rRNA from 1 species